GAUGAACGCUGGCGGCGUGCCUAAUACAUGCAAGUCGAGUGAACAGAUGAGGAGCUUGCUCCUCUGACGUUAGCGGCGGACGGGUGAGUAACACGUGGAUAACCUACCUAUAAGACUGGGAUAACUUCGGGAAACCGGAGCUAAUACCGGAUAAUAUAUUGAACCGCAUGGUUCAAUAGUGAAAGACGGUUUUGCUGUCACUUAUAGAUGGAUCCGCGCCGCAUUAGCUAGUUGGUAAGGUAACGGCUUACCAAGGCAACGACGCGUAGCCGACCUGAGAGGGUGAUCGGCCACACUGGAACUGAGACACGGUCCAGACUCCUACGGGAGGCAGCAGUAGGGAAUCUUCCGCAAUGGGCGAAAGCCUGACGGAGCAACGCCGCGUGAGUGAUGAAGGUCUUCGGAUCGUAAAACUCUGUUAUUAGGGAAGAACAAAUGUGUAAGUAACUAUGCACGUCUUGACGGUACCUAAUCAGAAAGCCACGGCUAACUACGUG
rnacentral:rRNA from 1 species